rnacentral:rRNA from 1 species
AUUGAACGCUGGCGGCAGGCCUAACACAUGCAAGUCGAACGAGUGGCGGACGGGUGAGUAAUGUCUGGAAAACUGCCUGAUGUAGUGGGAUAACUACUGUAACCGGUAGCUACUACCGCAUACCAUCGUCUUUUCCCAGAUGGGAUUAGCUAUUAGGUGGGGUAAAGGCUCACCUAGGCGACGAUCCCUAGCUGGUCUGAGAGGAUGACCAGCCACACUGGAACUGAGACACGGUCCAGACUCCUACGGGAGGCAGAAGUGGGGAAUAUUGCACAAUGGGCGCAAGCCUGAUGGAGCAAGGCCGCGUGGAUGAAGAAGGCCGUAGGGUUGUAAAGUACUUUCAGCGGGGAGGCGUUACCCGCAGAAGAAGCACCGGCUAACUACGUGCCAGCAGCCGCGGUAAUUC